rnacentral:tRNA from 1 species
GGAGGUAUGGCUCAGUGGUAAGAGCACCUUCUUAGCAAGCAUGAAGACUCAAGUUCAAACUUCAGUACCAUCA